rnacentral:lncRNA from 1 species
AACACCUUUUGUCUGGUUGAAUGGAGACGAUGGAGAAAGCAACGGAUGUCAGCUGCUAGGCAGUAGCAGUGUUUACUUCAUAUCAGUGUAAGUGCUUGCCAGCAAAACAAACAAGUACAACUACUUUCACAUCCAUACUUGAAAAGAAAGUCAUGUUCUCUAGGAAGAACAUUGUUAUUUCAAGAAUUUCAUAUAUUCCUUUAUUGAAACAUGACGUGAAAACUUUGUACAAGGUAGGCAGUUGUAAAGUGAAGUGAUAUUAUCAAGAAAUCUGGAAGGCUUUAGGUGAAACACUGAAAAAGAACCUCGAGCUGGAAGCCGACAAUUUACGAAAUCCAACGAUAGAAUUAUGUCUGUUGUUACUUGAAGGAAAAGCAAACAGUAACCGCUUCGCAUUGAAUGAAAUAUAGACCUUAAGUAAGUGAAAAUGACCAACUCCACGAGCAAGGAAUCUUCAUUGAAGCAACAUCUCCAGUCAUUCCAACAGAUACCAACGAACAACAUUUAUACAAGAAAACCUCAAGAGAGUGCGUCUUCUAAACAAAAGAUGCCACGACCAAUACUGCCCCCUAUUACACAUAAGGGACAAGAACGAUAUGAGUGGAAAU